CUUGAAAGAGAUGUCAGAACAGAGUGUGUGAAUGCUGUGGGGGUCUGCGGAGAGGUUUAGCUCCAGCAGCUCUUAGAAGACAGAUUGCUUCCAGAAAGCCAAACAAAAGAAGGCUGAGUUGGAGAAGCUUUAGUGUAGCCAGGGGCCGUGGAAAUGGGGAAGGUGGUUUGCGGACAGGAACUGAAGAAAAACUGGAAGCAAUUCCUUUGUUAAAGAUGAAAUGUAUUCUUUGCGACUGGCUGGUUAGCUGAGCUGGUUAGAGUGCCGUGUUGAUAGCACCGGCCAGAUGCCCGCCCCUCCCCCGCUCCCCCACCAAAUGGAAAUUGAGUCUGGAGUAGUUGAUAUUUCUUUAAACAUUUUAAAGUAGAUCAUCAAGGAACAGCUGCCUUGCCACUUCUCUUCAGUGUGGAUUGGGUGAAACUGCACACAUCUCUCAAUAUUCCAGCUCUUUUUUUCUGUUCACCCUGCUCAUGCUGAUGCUAACAGAAAAUUUUUAUUUUAUGAGUUUUCUUUGGAAACUAUGAAGGUCAUUGAUGUUUUGGAAACGGUAAGUUGGUUUUUUUUUUUUUUUU